AACGCGAAGAACCUUACCAGCUCUUGACAUGUCCAGUUUGAGUUCGAGAGAUCGGACUCUUCAGUUCGGCUGGCUGGAACACAGGUGCUGCAUGGCUGUCGUCAGCUCGUGUCGUGAGAUGUUGGGUUAAGUCCCGCAACGAGCGCAACCCUCACCUUCAGUUGCCAUCAGGUUAAGCUGGGCACUCUGAAGGAACUGCCGGUGACAAGCCGGAGGAAGGCGGGGAUGACGUCAAGUCCUCAUGGCCUUUAUGGGCUGGGCUACACACGUGCUACAAUGGCGGUGACAGUGGGACGCGAAGGGGCAACCCUUGGCCAAUCUCAAAAAGCCGUCUCAGUUCGGAUUGUUCUCUGCAACUCGAGAGCAUGAAGCUGGAAUCGCUAGUAAUCGCGGAUCAGCACGCCGCGGUGAAUACGUUCCCGGGCCUUGUA
rnacentral:rRNA from 1 species